AAGAUGAAUCAAAGAAGGUAAUAAUCCUGUAGUCGAAAAUGUUGUCUCUCUUGAGUGGAUCCUGAGUACGACGGAGCACGUGAAAUUCCGUCGGAAUCUGGGAGGACCAUCUCCUAAGGCUAAAUACUCUCUAGUGACCGAUAGUGAACCAGUACCGUGAGGGAAAGGUGAAAAGCACCCCGGAAGGGGAGUGAAAUAGAACCUGAAACCGUGUGCUUACAAGUAGUCAGAGCCCGUUAAUGGGUGAUGGCGUGCCUUUUGUAGAAUGAACCGGCGAGUUACGAUUUGAUGCAAGGUUAAGCAGUAAAUGUGGAGCCGUAGCGAAAGCGAGUCUGAAUAGGGCGUUUAGUAUUUGGUCGUAGACCCGAAACCAGGUGAUCUACCCUUGGUCAGGUUGAAGUUCAGGUAACACUGAAUGGAGGACCGAACCGACUUACGUUGAAAAGUGAGCGGAUGAACUGAGGGUAGCGGAGAAAUUCCAAUCGAACCUGGAGAUAGCUGGUUCUCUCCGAAAUAGCUUUAGGGCUAGCCUCAAGUGAUGAUUAUUGGAGGUAGAGCACUGUUUGGACGAGGGGCCCCUCUCGGGUUACCGAAUUCAGACAAACUCCGAAUGCCAAUUAAUUUAACUUGGGAGUCAGAACAUGGGUGAUAAGGUCCGUGUUCGAAAGGGAAACAGCCCAGACCACCAGCUAAGGUCCCAAAAUAUAUGUUAAGUGGAAAAGGAUGUGGCGUUGCCCAGACAACUAGGAUGUUGGCUUAGAAGCAGCCAUCAUUUAAAGAGUGCGUAAUAGCUCACUAGUCGAGUGACACUGCGCCGAAAAUGUACCGGGGCUAAACAUAUUACCGAAGCUGUGGAUUGUCCUUUGGACAAUGGUAGGAGAGCGUUCUAAGGGCGUUGAAGCAUGAUCGUAAGGACAUGUGGAGCGCUUAGAAGUGAGAAUGCCGGUGUGAGUAGCGAAAGACGGGUGAGAAUCCCGUCCACCGAUUGACUAAGGUUUCCAGAGGAAGGCUCGUCCGCUCUGGGUUAGUCGGGUCCUAAGCUGAGGCCGACAGGCGUAGGCGAUGGAUAACAGGUUGAUAUUCCUGUACCACCUAUAAUCGUUUUAAUCGAUGGGGGGACGCAGUAGGAUAGGCGAAGCGUGCGAUUGGAUUGCACGUCUAAGCAGUAAGGCUGAGUAUUAGGCAAAUCCGGUACUCGUUAAGGCUGAGCUGUGAUGGGGAGAAGACAUUGUGUCUUCGAGUCGUUGAUUUCACACUGCCGAGAAAAGCCUCUAGAUAGAAAAUAGGUGCCCGUACCGCAAACCGACACAGGUAGUCAAGAUGAGAAUUCUAAGGUGAGCGAGCGAACUCUCGUUAAGGAACUCGGCAAAAUGACCCCGUAACUUCGGGAGAAGGGGUGCUCUUUAGGGUUAACGCCCAGAAGAGCCGCAGUGAAUAGGCCCAAGCGACUGUUUAUCAAAAACACAGGUCUCUGCUAAACCGUAAGGUGAUGUAUAGGGGCUGACGCCUGCCCGGUGCUGGAAGGUUAAGAGGAGUGGUUAGCUUCUGCGAAGCUACGAAUCGAAGCCCCAGUAAACGGCGGCCGUAACUAUAACGGUCCUAAGGUAGCGAAAUUCCUUGUCGGGUAAGUUCCGACCCGCACGAAAGGCGUAAC
rnacentral:rRNA from 1 species